AGGGACACUCUUAAAGUCCCUUAUGAGUCUAAGGGGAAAGGUGGAUAUAAGCGCGCUGUUCUCCGUUUCAAGGCCGCUGCUAAUCGCACUAGGAUCAUGUUCCUUAGCACAUACUACCAUACGAGGAGCGAUGAUUUUGUUUCCCUCUGCGGUCCUGUUGUUGAUGAUGUGAAGCUCUUAAGUGUUAGGAACCCUCGUCGAUUCCUCUGAGUCGUGUAUUUUGAUGAAAAACGAUGAAUUUUCGAGUUAUAGUAGUAAAUUUGGUUGUAAUGAAGUAGAAGAAUGUGAUAGUUCUGUUUUUCUUAGCUUGUUUACUAGCAGUAUUUUCAUAUGAGUCUGUAUUAUACUAAUGUCUAAUGAGUAUAUAUAUAUAUA
rnacentral:lncRNA from 1 species